rnacentral:lncRNA from 1 species
UGACGCAAAGGCAAAAUGCAAAAUCAGCGUGAACAGUACGGGGGUACUGUUCACCUAUUUAUAGACACGGGACACGGCUCAUACAAAAUUACAUUCAUGCCCAUUACAUUUGGUAAUAAUUCUAUAGUAAUCCGCCGAGGUCUGAAUAGCCUUUUUAUCUUUAAGUCGGUUUCAUUUUCUGCUAGCACGCCGAAGCUUUCCCGCUCACAUCUUUGGCGCUGUAUCAACCUUCGUAUUAUUUUAGGCUUCUCCUACUGUGAUUCCGACUCGAGCCCGAAGGUACCUGUUCACACAUUAUGCUCCAGAAAUACUGUUAAAUCCUGUUUUUGAGGACCUUCGUAAGCCGAAGGCCCCCAACACCAGGUAUGAUCGGAAGUAUUGAUUGCAUGCACUGGGAGUGGGAAAAUUGCCCCACGACCUGGCAAGGUCAGUACAGAGGUUACUACAAGAAACCUACAUUGAUUCUAGAGGCUGUUGCAAGCCAUAACCUUUGGAUUUGGCAUGCAUUUUUUGGAAUGCCUGGAUCUUGCAAUGACAUUAACGUCCUGCAUCAUUCACCAGUCUUCGACAACUUAGCCAAUGGAGUUGGUCCUUCGGUUAGUUACCAACUGAAUGGUCAACAAUACCAUAUGGCUUACUACCUUGCUGACGGCAUUUAUCUGUCGUGGACUACUUUGAUUUAACCUAUCUCUUGCCCAUUUAGCAAUAAGCACAAGUAUUUUACCGCCAAACAUGAUGAGUACCAAAAGGACGUGGAACGAGCAUUUGGAGUCUUACAAGACAAAUACCAAAUUAUAAAGAAUCAUGCUCGCAAUUGGAACCCCAUUGAUCUCAAAUUCAUUGUUGAUUGUGUUAUCAUUCUACACAAUAUGGGCACUGAGUACGAGCAUGGCAUGGAACCUAUUCGAAUUGAAGAUUAUGAAGGAGGCUCUCGUCCAAAUUCCUCGGCAACUUCUAACUCUUCUGUAGUGGGUGAGGGGGUGGGUUGUAAUUGGUAAUAACUUAUGCACAUUGAAUGGCAACCAUGUCCAACCAAUCCGAUAAGUCUAGGAUCUUGUCAAUAAGCUGCUGGAGUUCAUAAGAUGAGUUGGUAGGAUGACCAACCGUCUGCCUAACCUCGACCGAGUUCAUCUCCAUUUCCUUUACAACCCAUUUGAGGGUAUCCAAAGGAGUGUACGCCAUCUGCAGGACACAUGCAAUCAGGCAGUAGCACCGAACAUCUGUGACACAUGAAAUCAGUAAAGCAACUAGCCGACAUGGAACAAAUUGAAUUCCAAUUGGUGAUUGGUAUGUAUUUGUGUUCCAGCAAUUUUUUGUUUAAACCCUAAACGUGUAUGUGCAGGUCUGCAGGAUGCUAAAUGAAGACAUUAAACACAAAUCUCACACGACGGACGCUACAUACAAGAUCCAAACAACGAUGCAUCGAAACAUCUCACAGGUCGAUUCAGAUGCAUACCUUCGCACAGAUGUGGGAGUCGUUGAGGUGGAAUCGCCGGUUCCUGGAGAUUCGGACCGCCGAUUCUGCCGGCGGCGCUUACCGUGAUGAGAACACCCCCUGCUACCCGACCGGCACCGUUUGCAGGAGGGCCCCGGAAUCUCCAGAUCGAUCGCCGCCGUGGGCGAAAUAGGGUGGCCAGAGGAAGGGAACGGACGAAAGGGAAAGUAUGAUCGUUGUCCAGAAUAUGCGAGGAAGAGAGAGAAGUGUGGAUUUGCGCAUGCUGUAGCCAGACCUCUAAUUAUGCGAUACCCUAUACCUACACGCAUGCUGUUGGGACAG